UACGGGAGGCAGCAGUGGGGGAUAUUGCACAAUGGAGGAAACUCUGAUGCAGCAAUGCCGCGUGAGGGAAGAAGGUUUUCGGAUUGUAAACCUCUGUCCCUGAUGACGAAGACAGUGACGGUAAUCAGGGAGGAAGCCACGGCUAACUACGUGCCAGCAGCCGCGGUAAU
rnacentral:rRNA from 1 species